UACGAAGGGGGCUAGCGUUGCUCGGAAUUACUGUGCGUAAAGCGCACGUCGGCGGUCUUUUAAGUCGGUGGUGAAAUCCUGGAGCUCAACUCCAGAACUGCCUUCGAUACUGGAAGACUUGAGUCCGGGAGAGGUGAGUGGAACUGCGAGUGUAGAGGUGAAAUUCGUAGAUAUUCGCAAGAACACCAGUGGCGAAGGCGGCUCACUGGCCCGGUACUGACGCUGAGGUGCGAAAGCGUGGGGAGCAAACAGG
rnacentral:rRNA from 1 species